rnacentral:rRNA from 1 species
GACGAACGCUGGCGGCGUGCUUAACACAUGCAAGUCAAGGGGGCCCGGUAGCAAUACUGGGCAACCGGCGAACGGGUGCGUAACACGUGAGCAACCUACCGAAAUGUGGGGGAUAGCCGGCCUAACGGCCGAGUAAUACCGCAUACGCUCUCGAUGAGGCAUUUCAUUGAGAGGAAACCUACGGGACAUUUCGAGGGGCUCGCGGCCUAUCAGCUAGUUGGCGAGGUAACGGCUCACCAAGGCAACGACGGGUAGCUGGUCUGAGAGGAUGGCCAGCCACAUUGGGACUGAGAUACGGCCCAGACUCCUACGGGAGGCAGCAGUGGGGAAUCUUGCGCAAUGGCCUAACGGCUGACGCAGCGACGCCGCGUGUGGGAUGAAGCUCUUCGGAGUGUAAACCACUGUUGCCCGGGACGAAUAGCUCGAUUAAUCGAGCCUGACGGUACCGGGUGAGGAAGCACCGGCUAACUCCGUGCCAGCCGCCGCAGU